rnacentral:rRNA from 1 species
UACGUAGGGGGCAAGCGUUAUCCGGAUUUACUGGGUGUAAAGGGAGUGUAGGCGGUACGGCAAGUCUGAUGUGAAAACCCUAAGCUCAACUAAGGGAGUGCAUUGGAAACUGUCGGACUAGAGUGUGGGAGAGGCAGGCGGAAUUCCUAGUGUAGCGGUGAAAUGCGUAGAUAUUAGGAGGAACACCAGUGGCGAAGGCGGCCUGCUGGACCAAGACUGACGCUGAGGCUCGAAAGCGUGGGGAGCAAACA